GGGCCCGCACAAGCGGCGGAGCAUGCGGAUUAAUUCGAUGCAACGCGAAGAACCUUACCUGGGUUUGACAUCACUUGAAAACUCGCGGAGACGCGGGGUCCUUCGGGGCGGGUGACAGGUGGUGCAUGGCUGUCGUCAGCUCGUGUCGUGAGAUGUUGGGUUAAGUCCCGCAACGAGCGCAACCCUCGUUCCAUGUUGCCAGCGGGUUAUGCCGGGGACUCAUGGGAGACUGCCGGGGUCAACUCGGAGGAAGGUGGGGAUGACGUCAAGUCAUCAUGCCCCUUAUGUCCAGGGCUUCACGCAUGCUACAAUGGCCGGUACAAUGGGCUGCGAUGCCGUGAGGUGGAGCGAAUCCCAAAAAGCCGGUCUCAGUUCGGAUCGGGGUCUGCAACUCGACCCCGUGAAGUCGGAGUCGCUAGUAAUCGCAGAUCAGCAUUGCUGCGGUGAAUACGUUCCCGGGCCUU
rnacentral:rRNA from 1 species